UACGAAGGGGGCUAGCGUUGCUCGGAAUCACUGGGCGUAAAGCGCACGUAGGCGGAUCUUUAAGUCAGGGGUGAAAUCCUGGAGCUCAACUCCAGAACUGCCUUUGAUACUGGCGACCUUGAGUCCGGGAGAGGUGAGUGGAACUGCGAGUGUAGAGGUGAAAUUCGUAGAUAUUCGCAAGAACACCAGUGGCGAAGGCGGCUCACUGGCCCGAUACUGACGCUGAGGCACGAAAGCGUGGGGAGCAAACAGG
rnacentral:rRNA from 1 species